UUCUUCCCCUCAAAUCGAACACACAGAAACCCAUCUCAUUUCCCAGUUCAAACCCUAGACCUUACUCUUCUCGAAUUCAUGUUCAUCUUUCAAGGUAUCGGUUAAAACCCUUUACUCAGUUGGUUCGCUUACACCCUAAUAAUCUCAUUCUGGCAAAUCUGAUGUAGAAGUUUUGAAUUGACGUCCAAUCUUAGUUUCUCAUAGGAAUUUGUUCCACAUGGAGGACGAGUUUCAAUGGGAUUCUAAAUUGGACAAUUGUUGAUUUCGGGCUCACCAAAAAAGUAAGCUUUAUUUGGUGAUCUUAGUACGUAUUCCAUCAUUGUAGAUAAUGAUUUAAGAAGAAGGUCAUAUGAAGAGAUUUUGAUGAUGAUACUCUUAUAUGAAGAACAAGGUUACGUGAAGAACAUGGAAUUAUGCUGGGAUUCAUUGUCGAUUUUAAAAAGAAUAGAACUUUUGUUUGUUCAUUUUCCCCUUGUUAGAUUGGAAGUACCAUUAGAUAGGCUGGCUCUUAUUUGCUGUGUUAUUGCAAGACUUUUUUUUUGUUUUUUGGGAA